AAUAGAUACCCAGGUAGUCCACGCCGUAAACGAUGUCGACUUGGAGGUUGUUCCCUUGAGGAGUGGCUUCCGGAGCUAACGCGUUAAGUCGACCGCCUGGGGAGUACGGCCGCAAGGUUAAAACUCAAAUGAAUUGACGGGGGCCCGCACAAGCGGUGGAGCAUGUGGUUUAAUUCGAUGCAACGCGAAGAACCUUACCUGGUCUUGACAUCCACAGAAUUCUGCAGAGAUGCGGAAGUGCCUUCGGGAACUGUGAGACAGGUGCUGCAUGGCUGUCGUCAGCUCGUGUUGUGAAAUGUUGGGUUAAGUCCCGCAACGAGCGCAACCCUUAUCCUUUGUUGCCAGCGGCUAGGCCGGGAACUCAAAGGAGACUGCCAGUGAUAAACUGGAGGAAGGUGGGGAUGACGUCAAGUCAUCAUGGCCCUUACGACCAGGGCUACACACGUGCUACAAUGGCAUAUACAAAGAGAAGCGACCUCGCGAGAGCAAGCGGACCUCAUAAAGUAUGUCGUAGUCCGGAUCGG
rnacentral:rRNA from 1 species